rnacentral:rRNA from 1 species
GACAGAGGUGGCAAGCGUUGUUCGGAGUUACUGGGCGUAAAGAGUGUGUAGGUGGUCUGUCAAGUCUUUGGUGAAGGGCCGUGGCUUAACCAUGGGAAUGCCAAAGAGACUGGCAGACUGGAGGCCGGGAGAGGGAAGCGGAAUUUCUGGUGUAGCGGUGGAAUGCGUAGAUAUCAGAAGGAAGGCCGGUGGCGAAGGCGGCUUCCUGGAACAGGCCUGACACUGAGAGACGAAAGCGUGGGGAGCAAACAGG